AUUACCGAUUAAAAUUGAAUAAUUUCAAUUAACCCCCGCCCACCCAGCCCUAGUUCGUCUCUCUCCCUCACGAUUCACGACUCUACCCACAGUCCGGUAGUCCCCACCCACCUUUACUUCGUCCGCCGCCGCAUCAUCCGCGUUUCGCCGCCUCCUCGUCCGCGGACGUCUGUCUGCGCCAGGUUCGCCGCUUCGUCCACGCCUCGUCUGCGCCAGGUUCUCACUUCGUCGGCUGCUUCAUCUGCGCUCGUCUGCCACCGCCCACCGGUCACCAUUCGCCACCGCUGCCCGCCUUUAGAGCCUCUAUCGCCAGUUCGCCACCGAUUUUACAACCCUAUUUAGAGGAUCUAUCAUGUGAAAACGUUAAUCGUGAUGAAGUAUGACAAUAAAUUAAAAGGAUGAGUGAUGAGGAGUAAAGUAUGUAUGAUCGGGGAGCAGAGCUGGAGCCUGGCAGAGAAGGAUUACCCCAAAUCAAUGUCUUUCAAGGCAUUCUUACCCAGCGAGGGCUUUGGCGAGCGACCAAUGGUAUUUCUCCUAAGUGAGCGGGCAACGCUGGAGGUCACAAUUGAGCAGGGAUAUUACAGCACUGGAGGUCAUGGCUGAGCAAAGAUAUUACAACGUUGCAUAACAGACAAAAUCCGACAAACUGCUGACACACUCGACGACUACUUGCAUAGGGCUAUUCCAUUAGCUAAAUCAAAGCAUGUACAAUGACGUUAAAAGACCCGUCUACCCUUCUCCUGUGUCUCUAUAAAUAGGAGUUCCUUCCCUUAUUGUAAACUUCGGUAACAUGAAGUAUACAACAUUUUCUCUUUA